UGCAGCCCUCCCCCAACCCCCUUGCCCACUGUGUCCCCAGGACCUGGUGUCCAAGAUGCUACACGUGGAUCCCCACCAGCGCCUCACAGCUAAGCAGGUUCUGCAGCAUCCAUGGGUCACCCAGAAAGACAAGCUUCCCCAAAGCCAGCUGUCCCACCAGGACCUACAGCUUGUGAAGGUAUGGCCACCCUUGGGCUGCUGGGCAUCUGGGGGGUCAGCCCAAGGUGGCAUGGUCAGGGACUUGUGGAAGAGCCAGGCAAUGCCAUGUCUGUACCAAGCACCAUGAGGUGGAACAUAGGAGAAGAAGACACAGCCCUGCCGUCAGGGAGCCUAACAUGCUACAGUGUCACGGUGCACUCACAGCCCCCAAUCCUCUGGAAGGCACAGCUGCUGACCUCUGAACCCUCCAGUCUGAUGGGG
rnacentral:lncRNA from 1 species